UCUCCGUUGGUGGACCAGCGGAGGGAUCAUUACCGAGUUUACAACUCCCAAACCCAAUGUGAACCAUACCAAACUGUUGCCUCGGCGGGGUCACGCCCCGGGUGCGUCGCAGCCCCGGAACCAGGCGCCCGCCGGAGGGACCAACCAAACUCUUUCUGUAGUCCCCUCGCGGACGUUAUUUUUACAGCUCUGAGCAAAAAUUCAAAAUGAAUCAAAACUUUCAACAACGGAUCUCUUGGUUCUG
rnacentral:misc_RNA from 1 species